AAGAGCUCAGAUUUGAAAUCGUGCUUUGCGGCACGAGUUGUAGAUUGCAGGUUGGAGUCUGUGUGGAAGGCGGUGUCCAAGUCCCUUGGAACAGGGCGCCCAGGAGGGUGAGAGCCCCGUGGGAUGCCGGCGGAAGCAGUGAGGCCCUUCUGACGAGUCGAGUUGUUUGGGAAUGCAGCUCCAAGCGGGUGGUAAAUUCCAUCUAAGGCUAAAUACUGGCGAGAGACCGAUAGCGAACAAGUACUGUGAAGGAAAGAUGAAAAGCACUUUGAAAAGAGAGUGAAACAGCACGUGAAAUUGUUGAAAGGGAAGGGUAUUGCGCCCGACAUGGGGAUUGCGCACCGCUGCCUCUCGUGGGCGGCGCUCUGGGCUUUCCCUGGGCCAGCAUCGGUUCUUGCUGCAGGAGAAGGGGUUCUGGAACGUGGCUCUUCGGAGUGUUAUAGCCAGGGCCAGAUGCUGCGUGCGGGGACCGAGGACUGCGGCCGUGUAGGUCACGGAUGCUGGCAGAACGGCGCAACACCGUCCGUCUUGAAACACGGACC
rnacentral:rRNA from 1 species